rnacentral:rRNA from 1 species
AGUGAACGCUGGCGGUAGGCCUAACACAUGCAAGUCGAACGGCAGCACAGUAAGAGCUUGCUCUUACGGGUGGCGAGUGGCGUACGGGUGAGGAAUACAUCGGAAUCUACUUUUUCUUGGGGGAUAACGUAGGGAAACUUACGCUAAUACCUCAUACGACCUACGGGUGAAAUCAUGGGAUCUUCUGACCUUUCUCGAUUGAAUGAGCCGAUGUCGGAUUAGCUAGUUGGCGGGGUAAAGGCCCACCAAGGCGACGAUCCGUAGCUGGUCUGAGAGGAUGAUCAGCCACACUGGAACUGAGACACGGACCAGACUCCUACGGGAGGAAGAAGUGGGGAAUAUUGGACAAUGGGCGAAAGCAUGAUAAAGCCAGACCGAGUGGGUGAAGAAGGACUUCGGGUUGUAAAGCCCUUUUGUUGGGAAAGAAAAGCAGCAGGUUAAUACCCCGCUGUUAUGACGGUAACAAAAGAAUAAGCACCGGCUAACUUCGUG